rnacentral:lncRNA from 1 species
GUCCUAGCCUUAAUAUUUCAUAUUGGGUGUUAUAUUAAGGACUUUAGAUCAACUAUCUUGAAUAUCUCCCAAAAGAUGUCUGGUUUAGACAUUUAUGAUCUUCCCAAAUCUCUUGAAACAAGUUUUCCUAAAUGAAGAUGAUGUCCCAUGGAAAUCAUACUUCUUUCACCUCCUCCAAUUAUUCUCCUUAACCCAAAAUUUCCUAAAAAUUUUAAGGCCACUCAAGCCCUAUUGGCAAGCAAAUGUCUAUGUGUGAUCACAUCUUGGAGAUGUAGUCACAUAUUGACAAGCCGGGAGAGUUGGGUGUCAAAGUAUUGAGAAAGUUGGUGGCUCAACUACUUUCUAAGUCACAUAGUAAGUUCUUCUGGAACACCUAUGAAACAGACUAUGAAAAGACCCUUAAUGAUCUUAUCUAUUUGCUAAGAUCAACUUACUAAAAACUUUAUGGACAUUGACAAUGAUGACACUAGAAAUCCAGAAAAAGCAUUUUCUUCCCAAUGGAAAGGAAUCGGCCAUAGUCAACUCGGUUGACCAAAUGGUAAAGAGAAAAGCUAAGUCUGAGAUAGUCCCAUUACCAAAGGGUCCAUAUGUUUAUAUUUCCAAAGAAAGGGGAAUUGGUUGCGAAGCUUCCAAAUUUACCUAAGGAUGUUAAAGUCAAUAAGUUUGACUCUACUUCAAAUAAAGUCCACUAUCUAACUCUGCUAUGUUUCUAUUCUGAGAUUCUUGAUACAUGAUGUGACUGGGUCACAUGUUGAUGUUUUAAGAAUCAAAGAAAAGUGAAGAAACUUAAAUAAAGAAUAUGUUGAAUCUGAUCGCAUAGAUGGAUUUCUAUCACAUAGUUUGAAGAUCGGAUUCUUGAGCUACUUCUUAGGAGUUGUGAUAUUUUGCUUAGGAAUAGAUAACAAGUUUUCAUAUGGAUUGUAAGCUUAACUUUUUCUACAAAGUUUUAAAAUAAAAGGUAAAUCUUUUGAUUUUAUUUAUUUUAAAAAUAUCCUUACAAUGACAUUUUUGAAAAUCUGUGUUGCUUAUAAGAUUCCAUUAAGAGCAAGAGUGGAAAUAUAAAUUUGAUUCUUUAAUUUGUGGUAGUGUCUAAAUUUACCAAAUAAGGAAAGAUUCUCAUCACCUAAGUUUCAGUUAAAUAGAAACUUGGAAUCAUGCAAGUUGUAUAGCAUGAUGAAUGAGAACUUUCAAGCAUUAGGAAAAUUAAGACUAAUUACUUGUUCACAUGGAUGUGUGAGUCAAGUGAAGGACUAAGGGAUCGGGUACACAUUCUUGUCACUGGUCAGAGUCCACUACAAAAGAUUGAUAAGACUAUUCGUUAUAUUUUACUAUAGCUCAGUAAAUAUGGUUAUACUUACAAGCUUAAGUGUAAUUCUGAGACAUUGGAAAAGGUUCCAAUGUAUGGCAGAGUGAAUAAGAAGAAUCAAUUUAGGCAGAAAGAUAAAAGUUUCUCAAAUAUGAAAAGAUGGGAGAGUACUUUAGUAUCAUGUUUUAAGACCAUCUUAAUGAUUUUGAUACCUUAUCACAAUUGAUCUUCUAAGUGCAUUCUGAUAGUUAAGAAAAGAAGUUAUGAAUUGCUGAAGUGGUUAAAUCAAGAAGAUGAUUCAUACUUCGUUCCAAAAACAAUUCUUAGAGUUAUACUCUAAGAUUGUAACUUGAGUGACAUGUCUUAAAGAAGGUUUAAAACACUUAUAAAAUGUAAGAGUAAAAGUUUUCUACUCUUGUACAUUUGAAAUUGGUAAGUUGUGAUGUUUUGGAUAAAACAAAGACCAACUAAGGCCAAUUGUGUGAAGUGUUUUUCUUGAUUAGAAUCCACACUAUCUCUUGAAUAUCUGACAAGCAAGUCUUAUAUGUCAAGAGGAUAGUAGGAGUCUUAAAGGUCUUGAAAGUCUCAAGAACUAAUCAAGAAUAAAACCCGAAGUUCUUCACUAGCACACGACUUGAGGUUUAUAACCUAUCGUGUUGACAUUUUCUGUGCCCAUUCCAGUUAAAGCUGGCUUUGCAUAUGAGUUCUUAGAGUUCACAAUUGGUUGCACCACAACUUGGAAGCAAUGGCAGGCCCUUGAGCUUCCAGGUGGCAAGAAAUUAAGAUUGAGUUCAGUCCAUAUAAGUUUGGAUUUUUCAUUAUCCUUGUCUUGUGACUAUGUUUUGACAAUUCACAUGGAUAAGAACACAUUGUGACAACCCGACAUUUCAAGACAAUAUAAUCGAACACCAGUCAAAUUUAGGCUAAAAUUUAACUUUCUUAAAAUCUUUUUUGGGUUAAAUAAAGUGGUAGGAAUCGUAUCAAGAUUUACGUACAUAUAAAGAACACUAAAAUCCGAGUUAUAACGAAGAAGUUAUGACCAAUCUAAGAUUCGCGGCAAAAACCGACAACGCUGAUAAACGUAAAACGCGAAGUUUCAAUACAAUAAUUUUUAGCCUUAGGUAUCUAAACGAAAGUCAUAGAUUACGUUAAACCGUGAUCAUGCAUAAAAAGAACGCCCAAAAUGGACUUCGUAUGAAGAAGUUACAAAUUUUCUAAGUUUCGUAACAGCGGUAGACAGCUAAAAAACCGAAAUAAAGAUCGAGCGAUUUUUAGCCAACACAACGUAAAAGAGAGUUGAAGGUCUCGACAAUUGUAGUUCAAUGGUAAAAACACAAACGAAAACAGACAUCGGAUAAAGAAGUUAUGGAUUUUUAACAAAGUUAUCGUGUCCCGGCCUAUUAAUUAAAAUAUAAUUAAAAAUAAAGUCAAAAUUAUUCGACGGAAUCUAAAUGAAAGUUGUAGAGUAUUUUCUGACCUUCGCGUGGAUAUAAAGAACGCUGAAAAUGGAGCUCGUAUGCGAAUGUUACGUAUUUUAGAAGUUCUUGGCAUGUAUUUCAAUGCCUUAUCCGAAGGAGUACGCCCAACGUACUGAAUGGAGGGCCCCAGAUCGUCCACGUCGACCAAACGCUUCGUCCGAGGAUGCGGUCAACAGUGAUGCAAGCGAACACCCAGCGUAACCUCGGAGUACGCCCAGCGUACGAGGUACGCCCCACGUAAGUCCGAAGUAUGCCCAGCGUACGAAGCCUCUCACACCCCUAUAAAUAGAAUGCGAGGUGCAAGGGUGUCGGCCAUCCUUGCUCAUUUUCUUCACUUCUCUCACAUUUUCACCUCGUUUUUCAUGCCGACAAUAUCCCAACUUCCCGGUUUCAUAUCUAAGCCCCGACGAAGGUUCGAAGCCCCGAGUUUCUCGAAAAACUCGUCACUUUCCGGUCGAGGUGCCGCCCGAGAAAAUCUUGUUUUCUUCAAAUCACGCACUUUCUUCGGUGAGUUCAUACCCCUAUAAACUACACUUUCAAAUGUGUUAUCAAUGCUUUUUAUACACUUUUUAGGGGANUUUGGGGGGGGGGGGGGGAAUACAAGUAAACACACGGUUAUUAUCGUGUGUAACCUAAAGCUUCACUAUAUAGUCUUUUUAUCAAGUAAAUCAUAUGUGAUUCAUAACUACUAUAUGGAAACUUCCGUACGCAAAAUAUAUCUCUAUAACAUCUUGUCUUUUGAAAUUAAAUAUGUUGUUAUAUAUAUACGAAUCAAACACUUUAUUUAGGCUUUGAGUAUAUGUGUUCAUUUAUGUCACUACAAAAGUUAUACUUUACAUAACAAGUGAGCAUUUCACUAGGGUUUACUAUACAACGAAACAAACUUUUGGAAAAACUAUAAUAGGUAUAGUUUACGACAAACAUUUUUACAUGUUAAAAACUCUUUAUCAAACUGUCUUACAUACUUUAUGUUUCCUUUCAAACGCUGUUAGAAUCAUGUUUCAAACAAAGGUCUUCCUAUACUUAAAACUGUUCUUAUCAAACAAACUGCUUUCAAAUCAUUUUAUAAACUGACAUCAAAUCAUCAUUUCUUAUUUAUUAAACUUUUCAAAGGUUUUACAAAACUUCUUUUAUAUUUUAAUAUUGUCAAAUGCAUGCCUAUAUAUGUAUAGUUAUAUAAGUAAUGUUUAAAGGACUUAGGACGGCUAGCACGCUUUAUUUCAUUUUCCUCGUUGGGAUGUGGCCUUAGGGCAUCGGUUAUUCGUCUGAAUGUCGUCUAAAUAUUAGUUAUAUAUAUCAUGUAUACAUAUAUAGACAUAAAAGUUUCCAUCAGUUGGUUCAGUACCUUUGAGUAGCAAAGGCAUACUUCGGUUAUACACGUACAAUACUACUAACUAUAAUAGCUAUAGUUAGGAGAUACUGCCUACCAUUCCAAGUACAAGGAAUCACACAAGAGUCAGUUUAUUCAUGAGUCUAUACUAAUAAAUUACAUACUAUAUGAAGAGAUAUGAUUACAUACAAUUACAAGGCAUACAAUUUCAAGACAUACAAUUAAAAGAGAUAUGAUUACAUAAGAUAGUGUACUAGAUAUUCAUGAAAUUUUACAUACUACAAGUACUAUAUCAAGGAAAUACUUUCAUAUACAAAAACAAAGUGGACUUUCAUACGUAAAUCUAUUUGAUACUAAGAAUUGUGACACACUUCAGCUUCACGUACUUUCGAGUAUGCAGUUAAAAGUCUUGUAUUAUAUACCAUAAUCUCUUGUAGGGAGAGCGUGAUACUUGUGUAUAGAUAUAUACGGGAUUGACAAUCCCGCACCUAAACUGUUAGCUACAGUUAGACGGGCAGGUAUGGGGUGACAAACGUCAUAACAUUCCAAUGCCUCAAGAACGUUGUUACAGGCAGUCUCGGUCAUUAGCAUGGUUAUAAAACUCACAUGGAGUAUUAAAAACACGUUGAUUUACAGGGUUAUCAAAUACCUUAGCGACUUUAUACGUACACAAAUCUACUAUUUUAGGCAUGUAAAACACCAUUGUAGUUCAUUUUUGGGACUUUUAAACUACCACCCACUUAUGGGCAAAUAUUGGAUUUCUAAAAGCAAACAUUCAAAACAGUUGGGUCUUGGUAGAAGGCUACCUUUUAUACUAGUAGAAAAUAUGGGAAUUUCUAGGGUUUUCAAACGUUUACAGUUACUUACAAACAUGUUCAUUGGUACAAACUUUCCUUCAAACAUUUGUAGGUCUUUCUUUACAGUUUUACAAAUCAAAUUCACAUAAAUACUUAUGAAUUCACCAGCAUUAUUGCUGAUACUCGCUUUCAAAAUAACUUGUAUUCUCAGGUCACAAAUAAACAGGUACGACUGCCAGGUUUUGUGAAGACGGAGCGGUCAAGACUCAUCUUUUAUUUUGAAUAUUCAUUUUGUAGAAUUAUACUAUGAAAGAACUCACAUGUAACUAAAACUAUACUAUUAAUGCAAUGGAUGAUGUUGUUGCUUGUUUACUACCUUGCAUUGUUGUGAUACAUUACAUGACGUUCUUGGUUUUGGGGGUGUGACACACAUACACCAUUUGCUUGUUUACUACCUUGCAUUGUUGUGAUACAUUACAUGACGUUCUUGGUUUUGGGGGUGUGACACACAUACACCAUUAAAUCUAAGGGUCAUAAGGUUUCUUUCCGAUUCAUGAAAAUGAUGGUGAGGAAACACUUCCACCAAGUAGAUUUGAAGUAGAUAGCAAUUGUGAUAUUUGCAUUCUCAAAGUCGUUAGUGGAGCUGUGUGGUUAGCCGACACACUAACAUGGACUUGUGAGAAGUGGCAAAGGUCUAAACAAUUGAGACUAUGAUUACGGCAUCCCUUUUCAUAGUUCUAAAAUUGUUUAGACACACCUGUGAGCUAUCUAAAAGAGGUGUAUGAUUUUGAUAAAGUUUUAUCAAAACAAUCUAGUAUCAGAAAUCUGAACUUUGGUAAGAAAGUCAGCUAAUUUCUGAGUACAUGUCAAAGCUAGUGGGAGCAUAAGUGUUAUGCUAAUAAUCAUCAUGUUAGUGGGAGCAUGAUAAUUAUGAUAAGUAUUGCAAGUUAGCAAUGUUAAUUAUAGAAAACAAAAGGUUUCAAUUGGGAAAAAGUUGUUUUGCUAUAAUUAAGGGAGAGGAAAUUAUACUUCAUCUCAAAUCUAUAAGCUUAGAUCGUGAGGUUUUAAUCAUUUAGUCAAGGAUAUAUAUAUGAAUUUCAUGUUGGAAUGGCUCAACAUAAGGAAAUUCUGUAUAUGGGUCCAUUAUUUGCGUUCUAAAAUUCGAUUAUGAUUACGGCAUCCCUUUUCAUAAUCUGAAUUAUGAGAACUUGGCAAAUUGAAAUGGAAAUAUUAUAGCAAAAGACUGGUUUAGUCUUUAUGUGAGACAUCAUGAAUCGUGUCCCAUAUGCUUCGGAUAUAGGAUCGAUUACAUGUGCUAUAUUCAUCCGUUCUAAAAUUUUCCAAAUGCCUGGGGCAUUAAGAAGGGAAAAGGUUUAGAACUGGAUAUGACUAAAAGGAUUAAACAAUUGUCGAGGACAAUCUAAGGUUUACCAAAGAUUGGUUGCUCAAGGACAGUUGGAAGUAUAGUGAUAAUUCUGGAAGGACCAUAUUGACAUAAUCUGUAAGGAGGCAACUCUUGUUCAGAAGUGAUAGUCAAAAUGGAAUCUGGAAAUGUUUCAAAGUUAGAAUUUUCAAUCUGUGUAAGAUUAAGGAAACUUAAUGCAAGAAGGAUAUUUCCAAGGAGUUGAUCUCCUUUGGAAUACUCUGUAAUGAUUGUUGCCAAGUCUUUGUGACUUUGUGCAUAAUCGUUACAAGAGGAUCAAUGCAUAUAAGUUUAGAAUCUAACAGAUUUCAGUAAAUGGCAUGAAUUUGGAAUUCUUGCAUUUGCAGUAAGGAUUUGGGAGUGUGAAAAGAGAAUCAUUGAAGUUAUGUUCAAUUGAUCUAGUUCACAAAGUAAAGAUCAUAGACAAACAUAGUAUGCAUACUUGGUGUGUGGCAUGACUAGUGUUUAAGAAAACAUAGUGUACAUGCUUGGAGCAUGGGACAACUAUUGUUUUAAAUUCAAGAAUAAAGUUGAUAGCUGAAACAGUAUACAAUGAAUAAUGUGUAAUCAUAUGGUGAUAAAUAAAAGGUGUUUUAUUUAUGUUCAAAGGGUUGAUACCAUAUUGGAUUCAAUUAUUAUUGUGUUUCAUUUUGCAUGUUUUGACUUCCCGAAUAAACUGGGUUAUUCUUCCGGAAUGACUAAGUUAUUCAAACCAUCCACAGUCGGUCAUAUGUUGGAAGUAGAUAUGAAUUAAGACUGUCAUGGGUUGGCUUGUAGAGGUCUAAGGUGUUGGACAAAGGGCUACAACACUCAUGAGUGCUCAUAAGUUCUGAGUAUUGGAUUCAACCCGCGCUCAUUGGAAUCACUUCAUGGAUUUUAUCACGAGUGAUCAUGAGACGAUAAUAUCUUAUAUUCUUCAAACCUAGAGAUAUGAGUUGUUACUAUGAGUUGGUUGUACAUUGAUUGCACGAAAACGCAUUUGGUAACUCGGUGUUAUAAAACGUGCCUUUGUGUAUGAUUCAACAAGUAGUAGAACAAGCCAUAUGAGUCGAAGUUUAUCCAUUCCUUUUACCUUCGGGAUAAAAGCGAUAUCUGUGGGCCCCUCGAUGAUUUGAUGAUGACAAAUGGAAGUGCUCGGCCGGGCCAGGACUGAUUUGAUUUGUUCAAUUAGUCAGUCGUCAUAAAUUGGAAAUCGGGAAACAACAAAUGGACAGAGAGAAUGAUUAUAAUCCAUGUCUCAGUCCAUAUGAUAUCUAGAAUGGAGGAAUAUAUGAUCCCUUAUCUAAUGGACAUGUCAUUUGAUUUGUUCAGAGUUUGACAGCGGCUUUAAGAGCUACGAUUGCUAGUCGGGAUCUUGGAGUCAUACUUGAAUAAUAGUUUUAGACUUAUCCAAGUGGGAGACUGUUGGAUUAGGUGUCUAAGCCCAUAACUAUUAUUGGUAUGUAUUCGACCCGAGAGUAGCAUGGUCCAUUUGGGUUGCAUAUCAUCAGGACAAUUUGUUAGGAUGGACUUUUGAGAGAAGGUUAUUUAUGGUUUAUUAAUAUAUUAUAAGUAAUAAUAUAUUAAUAUGAAAUCAUAUGUUUUAAUUAGUAUUGAUCAAGAAUUAAUUUGGAAUUAAUUUAGUGGUUGAAAGAGACUAAUUAAAUCUAUGGGGAAUAAUUAUGAUAAUUAGUUAUAUUUAUAUGUGUUGGGCUUAUGAUCCAUGUUGGACCAAGUUUAUGUAUGGAUACAUAAAGAGUUGGGCCACAUGAACCAUGGAUCAUAAAACCCAUGGGUAUGGAUUUGGGUUAUAUCCAUGACCCUAGAAAUCCCACAUAUAAAUAGAUACUUCAUUGCCCAAAAUUGCCACUUGUAUCUUUUAGAGUUCAUGGUGUCUUUUGUGUGCAUGGAAUUCUCUCUCAAGUUCAUCCUUUGUCCAUGGUGUGUUGUGAUUCCAUUUGAGGCUUCCACGCUAUUGGAGCUAAGCUCUUUAAGGCCAAAUACACCAAGAAUUCAAGCUCCAUCAAAAGGUAUGUCAUGCUAACUAGUAUAUUAUAUUUUUAUAUUAAAUGCAUGCUAGUUGUAAGAUUAAUACCUUGGAAACCAUUUGCAUGUAUAAUUAGUGAAAACAUAGAUCCAAGGUAUUUAGGGUUGUAUGUGCACCAUAGUAUGUUGUAGUAUACCAAAACCCAACAAGUUUAUCUUACAUUGAUUCGUUUUUAAGACAAUAUUUUAUUUUCUUAUAGUUUUUCGUUAGUAGGUAUUGUUUGGGAAGUGAUAUCAAGAAAGUAAUAACAGGCAGUCUAAACAUGUGUAAAGGACUGAAUCUGAAUUUUCUAGACUCUAUGUUCAAUGUGCUAGUAGGCAUGAAGGAUUUGAUAGUGUAGAUUUAGAUAGGAUUUUUUGGACUGACCAUACGACGCUCGAGUAGAUUGAGCAGUGAGAUUAACAUGGGAACCCACAAGAUACACUAAAUUAAUACACAUCUAGAACUGUGGCUUAACUUUUUCUUGAUGUACGAACUUAUGUCCUUAAUGUUGGUUCUGAUAGGGCGACUGGGGGGUUCUGAUAAAUUAGGCCUGUAGGAAAUUAUUUUCUUGCUUUCUAUCUGUCAGUCAUAUGUUGCUUCCUCUGUGUGAUUAGAAGAGAUCCGACUUGGAAUGCAACAUAUGCAACUCUAUUUCUGUGCACCACUUUAUCUAUGCAAUUCUUUAUAUUUGUUAGCCAUAUGCUAUCUCCUCUGCAUGAUUAAAAUGAUCCGAACUGGAACACAACAUAUGCAAAAUUCUACCUCUCAAUCCCUCUAUCCUAGUUAGUCAUAUGUUGUCCCCUCUGCAUGAUUGAAAGAGAUCCGACCUGGGACACAACAUAUGCACCCUUCUCUAAAUCCGACUUCCUCCUUAAUAAUUGUUUACUUAGCUAAAGUAAAGGAGUCCUUAGGAAGUUCUUGAUAAGCAGGGUAUGUCGGGAAGCAGGGAACAUGUUCUAGUGCAACUAAAGUUGAACCAUUUAGAGGUUGUCUGCAGAUCUUGUUGCUUAAUUUAAGUGGACAACAAUACCCAUGGUCGUCGUCAACUAAAUGGUUUAUUUAGAAAAGUUUGUCGAUAUCCUUCGUGUUUAAGUGGACCACAAUACCGAAAAUUGACUAGAUCUAUUCAUGAAGGUGAAGGUACUGAUAAACAAAGUUAAGACUGUCUCACAACUUUGAUCCCAAAUAUUUUUGUUAAAUUUGUUCAUAGUUUUCCUCUAUGUGAAAAUUUGUGGGGAGAAUUAAAAAAAAUAAAAAAUAAACAAAAAUCAGAAAAUUAAAAAAAAAUCCAAAAAUAGUGUUAUUUCUUGUUUAGAAAAAUCAGAAAAUUCAAAAAUAUUUUUGUUUCUGUUUUUUUUUUUUUCAGAAAAUAUGAAAAAUCCAAAUAUAUAUAUAUAUAUAUAUAUAUUGUGUGCUAAGUUUUCUUUUAGUUUUUGCUUUGUCUUGAAAUGUGAAUUCAGAUGUAGAUGAGACUCAUGGAGACUGUAUCGUGAUUUUCUGAGCCAAGGCUUCGUCCGUGAUCAUCGAAGAAUUUUCAUUCGAAGGAGCAAGAAAUGAAGACUAUUCUUACAACAUUCAAUCCUUCAACCCCAGAAGCAAGGUGAAGCUGCUUUGAAGAUUAUGUGACAGAUUGCAUUGAUGCCUCCUCAAUCAAUCUACUGCUAUUCCUGUGCAUGCUGAAGUGAUCCAGAAGAUUAGUUCUCUCUAUUAUUCAAUCUGAAGACUCUAAAGCUGAAAGCACCAUCUUUCAAUAAUCUUUUCAAGAAGCCUCCUCACCCAAUGUGCGUUCAAAUCAAAAUUUUGAAGAAAAGCCCAACUGCUCAAGAUGAAGUCAUUCAUUGAAGAUUCAUCAAGUUCAUCUUGAAGCUGUGAAGAAAUCGAAGAUUAAAGCUGAAGCCAAACUCCAAAUGAAGAUUGACAAGAAAAGUCAGAUACUGUUUAGGGGGAGCUUGUUGGUUCAAUUAGAAACGAAAGCUAUAAACCAAGGGGGAGAUUGUUGGGUCUAAAAUUAUGGUUUAUACUUUGCCUUUCUAGGAAAAUGUAUUUUUAUGUCUAGGACCGUAAACAGCUCAAUGUUUACGGCUAUAUAUGUGUUUACGGUUGUGUGUACGGCUAACUNNNNNNNNNNNNNNNNNNNNNNNNNNNNNNNNNNNNNNNNNNNNNNNNNNNNNNNNNNNNNNNNNNNNNNNNNNNNNNNNNNNNNNNNNNNNNNNNNNNNNNNNNNNNNNNNNNNNNNNNNNNNNNNNNNNNNNNNNNNNNNNNNNNNNNNNNNNNNNNNNNNNNNNNNNNNNNNNNNNNNNNNNNNNNNNNNNNNNNNNNNNNNNNNNNNNNNNNNNNNNNNNNNNNNNNNNNNNNNNNNNNNNNNNNNNNNNNNNNNNNNNNNNNNNNNNNNNNNNNNNNNNNNNNNNNNNNNNNNNNNNNNNNNNNNNNNNNNNNNNNNNNNNNNNNNNNNNNNNNNNNNNNNNNNNNNNNNNNNNNNNNNNNNNNNNNNNNNNNNNNNNNNNNNNNNNNNNNNNNNNNNNNNNNNNNNNNNNNNNNNNNNNNNNNNNNNNNNNNNNNNNNNNNNNNNNNNNNNNNNNNNNNNNNNNNNNNNNNNNNNNNNNNNNNNNNNNNNNNNNNNNNNNNNNNNNNNNNNNNNNNNNNNNNNNNNNNNNNNNNNNNNNNNNNNNNNNNNNNNNNNNNNNNNNNNNNNNNNNNNNNNNNNNNNNNNNNNNNNNNNNNNNNNNNNNNNNNNNNNNNNNNNNNNNNNNNNNNNNNNNNNNNNNNNNNNNNNNNNNNNNNNNNNNNNNNNNNNNNNNNNNNNNNNNNNNNNNNNNNNNNNNNNNNNNNNNNNNNNNNNNNNNNNNNNNNNNNNNNNNNNNNNNNNNNNNNNNNNNNNNNNNNNNNNNNNNNNNNNNNNNNNNNNNNNNNNNNNNNNNNNNNNNNNNNNNNNNNNNNNNNNAUAUAUAUAAGAAAUAAAUUGGUUGAUAAUAUAAUACUAUGAUAUUUAAGAUAUCAUACCAAUAGGGUACCAAGAUUAUUCAAUUAAUACGGUAUUACCAACCAAAAAUAUUGUCUACCAAAUAUAUUGGUGGUUAACUUUUUAAUUUGAUUGAUAGCAUAUUGACUGGUUUUUCGUGGGAUAUAAUUGACAACAAUACUAACACAAACCCAACUGUCCUUAAUAAUGAUGAUAAUAAUUAUAUAGGUAAAAAACUAUUCCAACCGAAAUAUGAUAAUAAUGACUUCUGAUAUUAAAUUUAUUUACACUUAUUUUUCAUAUCUAUCCGUGUACACUCUGAUAUGAUGACAAUUGUAAUAUAAAUUUGUUAAUUUUAUUGAAUAUGACCAAUAUUACAAUAUCAAAUAUGAAGGAAUAUAUUUUAAAUGUAUAGGAAGAUGGAUAAGAAAUAUAAAUAUGAGAAUAAUUUCUCUAAUGAAUUUUGUAUUAUUAUAAUAUCAGCAAAAUGAUGAUAUGCAGUAAUAACCCCCUAAAAUAAGAUGGUGGGGUCCCAUGUGUCUAUAGCAAAAAGAAAAUGAUUUUGUUUAUUUAGUAAAAUAUUAUUAUAAUCACGUGGACAUGACAUAAUGGCAAUGUCGAGCCUCAAAUUUUAUGAAUUGGAAUAACCCAUGGUGGUUUUUAAGAUUUAAUUAAGACGNNNNNNNNNNNNNNAGAUACAAUAUAAAGGCUAUUUUACUUAUUGUCAUAUUCAACACAUUAACAAGAGAGGUAUCGUAAAAUAUCAUUUGGAUAUGAUUUUACAAUCAAAUCACUCUAAGUUCAGUUGGUUUGUACAAAUCGUUUUUUAUGUAGAAUGAGACAAAGGCUAUUUUACUUAUUUAGUGAAGACUACCUACAAACUUCUAGGAUUCAUACAUAUGAUGUAUGUAAGUCAUCUAGAACCGUCUCUAAGGAUACGCAGAACUACUUCAUCACUUGUGUUUAUAAAACUAGUUUAGACAUGCACACGAACAUUUAAAUAGUUCAAGGUAUUCUUAAAAGGUAGUAGAUGAUUAAUUUGGUAGGACCGUAAAACCAUUUGAUUUGAUCAUAGUGGUAAGGAUGAGAGCUUUUUAGAUUAUACGUCAAGUUAUCAGUGUGUCUAACCCUUUACCUAGAACUUUAAUGUUUUUGAACAUAGAGAUUUGGUAUAUAUUCAAUGUUUUUAGAUGGAUGAUAAAUCUGACCACACUUGUGUUAUCAUUUAGGGUUAGAACCUUUAAGUUUACAUUAUAUAUUAUCAAAUGAUUUUAACUAAAGAAGAUGAUCAUGACACCAUAAUUGAUUGAAUUUGGAUUUGCACCUAAAAAAUAUCUUGAUUGAAAAUUUAUAAAUAUAAAGCCCAUUGUCGAAAUAACACUUCUACACUUCCUGUGUUUUCUAAAUAUACUAUGAAAGACUAUUUUAUCAAAGUUCCAACAAACAAUUGUUUUCUGUUUUCUUUCUAUAAGAUACAAGUGGGAGUUCAAUAAACCUUCAAUAUCAAACUCAAUGAAAAUAGUUGAAUUAUCUUAUUACAAAACACAAGUGUGAGCUUAAUAGAUCUUAUGUAUAUCUAAGAAUGACAUUUUAAAAUCAUCCACAGUCACUCACGACUAACAUGAUGGAUUUGUGUAGUUGAUGCUUUGAGGUGAAAGACAAAACUAAUUGGUAUUCAAGUUUGUGAUUUCUGAUUAAACCAUGAAAUAGAUAUUUUAUUGUAUUUAUUUGGAGAUAUAAUUUGAAUGGUUAUUGGAAAUCUGUUCAAUUUCUAGAAACUUUUUAUCAAGACUCGUGACUUGUAAAAGGCUUAAACCUUUGAAUGUAUAGAUACAAUCCAUGAGGAACAACCAAGAUGAUACUUAGUUGAUCUUCUCUUUGCAGCAAGACGAUUUUAAUAAGAAAAUAUUCUUUUAUGUAAAAUAUUUAUAUGGACAAAAAUGUAUAGUACUUGCUACAACUGGAUCAUUUUGACUAAACAAUAUAAACCAUUAUGAAAUACUUAUACUCUCGGUCUACUAGCAAAGUAAUCAUAAAGAUGUCGAUUAUCGGAUAUAUUCAUACUUCUAUGGAGUAAUUUCGAAAGGUCAUUUUAGUGAGGACAAAUUCAUUGAUGCAUCAGAAUUCUCUAGUAGUCUAGACACACAUAUGAUAUAUACAAGUUACACUUGAAGCAGGCAUUCGUGUGCGAUUCUUUUCUUAUUAGAAAACAAGUAAGUUAAUAUUGCAAUAUAGUAAGUAUUAUAGGUUUUCGUUAAGCUCGUGGGAGCAUUGUUGAUUCUCCAAGUUUUGUACAUGAUAUACAAACAAAAUAUACCUACUAUAAUAAAAUUUGGGAACACAUUAAGGGAAUAAGAGUUUAUGUUAGAGAGGCAUUAGUAGAUGAUGGCUAAAAUCUAGUCUUCUUUUUUUAAUAGGAUUUUACCAAGGUUAAGGAUUAUUACGCAACUAGUUAAAUGUACAUAAUCAGUUAUACAAUAGUUUUGGGAAGACCGAAUGUCCAACUUCGGGAACAACUAUGAUUCAGUUUAGAAAAAAUCUAUUUUUAUUUAAGCUAAAACUAUAAAUUAAAAUUAGGGAAUUUAUGUUUAACUUUAAAUAAUGAAAACAGAAUGAUUACUAGACCAAAGAACAAGAAACAAUCAAAAACAAAAUAAAGAUGGAAAAUUGGAUUUGGAAACAAUGAAUAAGAAAGGUACUUUCACUUAAAAUCAGUUACACUCCUAAAUUAUGGUUAAUGUAUAUAAAGUGCAAUCGAUAUUAGAUUUUAUCUACUAUCAUACCCCCAACCGAUGGCGGUGAGAAAACAUCAUGGAUCAUAGUAUUAAGCAUACAUUGAACAAUACAACAAUAUGAAAGAAAAUAGAUAUUUUUAUUUAAUUGCAAGUGUAGAUUUAAAUAUCCCCUAGUCUAGGGUACAAAAACACUUAAAGUACAAAAAUAAGCCCUAAUAGUAGGCCACUUAGAAAGUAUUAGAACAUGAAAGAUAUUAUGUGAUCCCAUGAUUGUUCUGAAAUUAUUUCUUCCCUUUGCUUAGUUCCCUGAUAAUACAUGUAAUUUUGUAAGAGUGUCAACUUUAAAGUUGGUGAGUUCACAAGCUAAUAAAUAUUUAUAAGUUUUAUGAAUCUCAAAUGUGACUUUUCAUAUAACUUGAGGACAAGUUACAAAAACACAUUUUAGAACCAACUCUUAGAUUAAUUUGGAUUGAGAACAACAAUUUCACAUAACUUUUCAAUUCAUCUAAGCAAUUCAUAAGAACAAGAUAAUUCAAAUCAAACUUUUUCAUGUAAUUAGUCUAACCAUUACACUAAUACAAAACAUGAAUCUGUUGACAAUUAUCUUUGAAAUUGAAUUUGAAUGAACAUUAGCAUGUCAAAAACAGGUUUAUAAGUUCAAAAAAAACUUAGGGUAAUGUUUUAAGUCCAAUUCAAGCCAAAAACCUUGAAAAUAUAUUGUCAAGUGUAUGAACCUACUCGACGAGUAGGAUGAGUUUCUUCAUGGACUCGAUGAGUCCAUCAGUGGACUCGGUGAGUCCAGUGCCUAGACAGCCCGAAAAUCGAUUUUUUUUCAGCAUUUUUCAGCACUUUGCAUCUAGUAUAAUUGAAAACAAGCCUAGGCUCAAAUACCACUAUUGAUUUUUGAGCAUUCUAACACUCCUAAGUUUACAUACAACCCUAAAUACCUUGGAUCUAUGUUUUAUGUAUUAUACAUGCAAAUAUGAAUAUUCCAAGCUAUUUUGCGAUCUAGCAUACAAUCAUAUGUAUUUGGAUAACAAAAACUAGAUAGAAUACAUACCUAUUUGUUGUAGAUUGAUUCCAUGGAGCUCAAGAGCCUAGUGCCCCAAGUGUGAUACCUCAAAUGGUUCACACAACAUCAAAUACCCUUGGAAUCACUUGAGAGAAAUGAUACACUUCAUGAAAUCGGCUAGCACUCACCAUUCACACAUAGUGUCCGAUUUUUGGGAAGAAUAAGAUGCUUAUAUAGCAUAUCACAAUUAGGGUUACACCAUGUAAACCCUAAUUGUCAUGGCCUUUCAUUUCCAUGAUCCAUGGGUACAAAAACACCAUGGAUCAUCCAUGGAGCAUCCUAUGGGUUUUAGCCCAACUUGAUAAUCCAUGGAGCAUUAGCCCACUAUACAAGUACGGAUGAUUUACACAAUCAACCCAUAUAUUUAAAUAGUCUCCUGUUGAUCACUUAAUUAAUUCCAGAUUAAUUCUUGAUCAAUACUAAUUAAAUAAUCUUAUUAAUAUAUUAGAACUCAUAAUAUAUUAAUAAACCUUAAGUGUUAUUUCUUUCAUUUUAAUCUAUCCAAAUGCAUGAUGCCAUGAAACCUAAAUGGACCAUGCCAAUCAGGUCAAGUACAUACCAAAUAUAGUUAUGGACUUAGACACUAAUCCAACAAUAGUAACAACCGAUUUUCCCUUAGGACUAGUUUCAACGGUCUUCAAAAGCACUUGAAGUUUUCUAAGUGUGACCUCUUCCUUGUUCAUGUGAUAUGUCAUUCGGAAUUGAUCAUAACAAGCAGGUAAGGAGUGCAGUAUGAUAUCAAUAGCCAACUCCUCAGGGAAGUUCACAUUCAGCUUUAGUAAACGGUCCACAUACCUUUGCAUUUUCUGCAUGUGGCCCGUGAUGGGUUCACCAUCCUUCAUUCGGGUUAUUAUCAUGGAAGAGAUGAUUUCAUACCUCUCUUGAUGAGCACUCUGAUGGUAGUGGUCCAUCAGGUCCAUGUACAUCUCAAAAGGGUAAAAGUCCUCAUAGGGCUUUUCGGGUUCAACUUUCAUUUUGGCCAACAUGAUACAUGCCACCUUGGUAGCAUCUCUCUCAUGUGACCUAAAUUCGGCGAUCUCCUCUAGAGUAGCAGUAGACUCAUCAAUUUCCUUCAGUUCCUUGUCGAGGACAUAUUCCUUGUCCUCGUAACGAGUGACCAUCCUGAUGUUCCUAAUCAAAUCAUUAAAGUUUGAACUAUCAAAGGUGACUCUCCCACAAAGGCUCAUGAGUGAGAAGGAGCCGGUAGGGUUUGAGGCAGAAGCAACAUUGUUGGAAGACAUCUGAAAAGAAGAAAGCCAAGUUUAGAUUAGAUAUAGAAUCCUUAAUAAGACACCCAAAUAUAAUAUUAAGGCUAGGACCCAACACAAUACUUUUUAACUUGGAAGAGAGAUGUCGUAAUCCAUGCUAUAAAAUAUUUGAAGGUAGGUGAAUGACGAUUCACCAACUUCCACCAUGAAAAAAGAAAUGAAUUAUUAGGUUUUAAUUGGAUUGAAACUCCUAGAUUCUUUUGAGAUUCAUUAAACUUUUUAAUGACAUGUUUAAAUCUCGAUUAUGCCCUCUCAAGUUUGUGACUGUGAUGCCGAGGAUCAUAAACAAGGUGUGAAUAACCAUGAAAAUUUACUUGGUACCCUUAAUGUUUAUCACCUAAUCAAUAUGCCGGUUACCCACACGCGCUCAACCGAUCUAUGAUAAAUAUUAAGUCAUACUUUGCCACCUUUACUAGUCCAUGUUAGUGUGUCGGUUACCCACACACGCUCCACCAAUGACUUGGUAAGGUACAAAGUGUAAUUUAUAAUAGGUUUAGUUACUUUAUGUUUUUCAUUAUACUUUUAAUGAGGCUUAUAGUCCUUAUCCUACUCGUUCGGCUAACGACCCUCCACCAGUCAAGGAAGUGGUGGGUGAGAGUGGACACCCAUUAAGCUGGCAUUUUAUAGGCAACAACCUUAUACUCCCCUUAUAGACCGGCUUCGUGAAUGAGGCCUACUAACGGUAAGACUGGCUUGCUCUUAUACACACACACNAUAUAUAUAUAUAUAUACAUUAACUUAUAAUACUAUAAACUAUAAGGGUUGAAUUUUAACUUUUAAAACUCUAGGGUACGAAAUUAAAUUUUUCUAAAGUUAGUUUACAAAUUCCAAAACUUGAGGGCAAGUUUUGAAACUAUUCAAAAAAUUUCAUAUUAAUAACUUAUGGGUUUAAUGGUUUAUUAAAAUGAUGACUUUUUCAACCAGUUUGCAUCAAAUACAAAGAAAACAAGCCUAGGCUCUGAUACCACUGAUGGGUUUUGAGCAUUCUAACACUCCUAUAGUGUACAUGAAACCCUAGAAACCUAGGAUCUAUGUUUUCUCUAAUAUUCAUGCAAAUAAGAAUUUUACAAGGUUUACAUCCUAACUAGCAUGACAUGGGGUACAUGUAAUAUAAAACUAGUAGAAUGGCAUACCAUUGCAGUUGCUUGGAUUCCUUAAGACUUUGUGAGCCUAGAACCUCAAGUGUGAUGCCUCAAAUGUUUCACACAACACCACAACUCUUGGAAUAACUUGAGAGAAGAGCACUUUGAUCACAAAAUUGGCUAGCCCUCUUUUUCUUGCUUUAGUGGCCGAUUUUGCUAGGUAUGGAGCUCUUUAUAUAGUAUGCCACAUGUAGGGUUACACCAUGUAAACCCUAAUCUGCAUGGCUUUUCAUUUUCCUCCAUGACCCAUGGGUUAUAACCCCCAUAGAGCAUCCAUGGAGCACCGAAUGGGUCCUAGCCCAAUCUAGUCAAUCAUGAACUAUAAACCCACUAUCUAAGAAUGAAUGAUUUAUAAAUCGAUCCCCAUAUAUUUAAUUAGUCUCUUUUUUAUCACAAAAUUAAUUCCAAAUUAAUUCUUGAUUAAUACUAAUUAAAUAAUAUGAUUUCAUAUUAAUAUAUUAGAACUUAUAAUAUAUUAACAAAUCGUAAGGGUCCUUUUUCUAAUUUUUUCUAUCCAACCAUUGAGAUGUCGAUACAACCCAAAUGGGCCAUGCCAAGCUGGGUCAAGUACAUAUUAAAUAUAGUUAUGUACUUAGACACCUUAUCCAACAAUGGGUAUAACCCAAAUCCAGACCCAUGGGUGUUAUGAUUCAUGGUUCAUGUGGCCCAACUCUUUAUGUAUCCAUACAUAAACUUGGUCCAACAUGCAUCAAAAGCCCAAUGCAUAUAAAUAUAACUAAUUACCAUAAUUAGUCUCUUUUGAUCACUAAAUUAAUUCCAAAUUAAUUCUUGAUUAAUACUAAUUAAAACAUAUGAUUUCAUAUUAAUAUAUUAGAACUUAUAAUAUAUUAAUAAAUCAUAUAUAACCUUCUUUCAAGAGUCCAUCCUAACAAAUUGUCCUAGUGUUAUGCAACCCAAAUGAACCAUGCUACUCUUGGGUCGAAUACAUACCAAUAAUAGUUAUGGGCUUAGACAUCUAAUCCAACAAUUAUGUGGUAGUAGUAGGUGUGAAAUAGACCUGGUAUAUAGUUGAAAUAGACCGAAGGGGAUUGCAAGCACCCAUAUAUGAUUGAUAGUAUCCAGUUGAGAUAGAUCGAAGAAGUAGGCAAGUACUCAGAUAUGCUUGGCAAUAUCCGGUUGAAAUAGACCGAAGGGGUAGGUCGGCACCCAUAUAUGUUUGGCGGUAUGUUUGUUUAGGAUGUGGUAUUUUGGGGGACUUAACUAAGAUUUGUGCUUAAAGUUUUUAGUUUCUGUUUCAAGUACUUCCAGUUCAUAGGGGAAGGGCCUGGACUGAUUGCACUGUAUUACUCUAUGUUUUUCCGUACUUAUUGAUUUUAGGAUUUGUACUCUGAUGACAAGCUACAAUAUGAAUCAUUCAAAUAUUUUGAUAUCAGUUCGUUAUGCAUUUACUGAAUUAAAAAAAAUUAUCUAUAUUUUUGGGGAUGUUACAAGUUGGUACCAGAGCAUUGGUUUGAGGGAUUCGAGCAUACUCUCGGCUGUGCCUAGACUCAAAUCGAAGGUUUGUGUUGGGUUUUUAUUCAAAAAUCGGGUUUCACAACCAGUAAAAAUGACAACAAAAUCUUUAAAAUGUUGAAUAAAAUUAAAACUAUUUUACACGCCAAGGAUCAUUUUGUAAGAGUUAGAAAGAUUAAAACAACCAUAGAAAGGAAAUCAUAACAACUUUGAAGACUUUGAUCCUCAUGAGAGGUUGGAAGUUGAUGAAAUGUGGCAUGAAACUCUAAAACAAGAUUUCUCUAUAACUAUCCACGAAGCAAGAGUAGAACCAUCAAAACAUGCUAGUAUUCACUUUUAAUUUGUUGUUCAAAAGCCAUUGAAAUAUAUACCAAAUAUAUGUUCAAAGGUGAAUCAACAAAGGGACUUUGUCUAGCAUCAAAAUGCAAGAUAAUGGAGAAGGGAGAAGCCUUCAAAUAUCGAAAUUUGGCAACCCUCAUGGUGCUUUCUCUAUUUUCGGAUCUAUGCUCCAAAAGAAGAAGAAGAAUUAUGCAAGAACUUGUGUCAAAUUCCUUCCAUGCCAUUUCUUAUAUAAUGACCAUAAUGCAAAAGCAUGGACAGUUUGUUCCAAUCAUGGCAUGAAUUGAUUAAACAAUUCAAAAGAAGACCAUACUUGGUCUCCUCUUUCUUUUUCGAAAAAGCAUGCUAUAAUGAAGACAAAAGUUAUCUCAUGGCUAGUUUAUACAUACACACACACACACACACACACACACAUAUAUAUAUAUAUAUAUAUAUAUAUGUGUGUGUGUGUGUGUGUGUGUGUGUUAUCUUUUGAAAAAAUCAAUCAUUUUUAUAAAAAAAUUCUCAACAUAUAUAUUUAUAUAACUAUUCAAAUAUAAAUAUCUUAUUUUAUAUAAAACUACCUUUUAUAUAAAUUGUAACUAGCUUAUUAAGAUAUAAAUAUGAAUAUAUAAAUAUCUUAUUUUAUAUAAAACUACGUUUUAUAUAAAUUGAACUAGUUUGUUAAGAUAUAUAAAUAUAACUUAUAAAUAAUCAUACUUUAUGAUAUAUUUCAUAAGUUGUUAUUUCUCCAACAAAUAUUAUUUCCACAAAUAACAAAUUCACAAUUAGUAAAAUAUUAAUUCCAUGAAAUUAUAAUUUUCCAAUUAAAUACAAGUGUUGAUAUAUUUAUUAAUAAUCAAAUUAUACUAAUAAAUAAUAAAUUGACGGUAACUUGCUAUAUGGUAUGAUCCUAUAGGAUCAUAUAUUAUUAGAAAUAUCAUUCUAUAAUGACUAUUGGGCAUACUAGAUCUUUUAAUCUCCCACUUACACAAGACUCAUCAUAGAUUGAUACAGAUAAUGGUGAACGUCUAGCAACAUUUCACUACCCCAAGAACAUAUGAUGAAGAAUGGCAUUCAUCAACAUCUAAUUCCCAAAAUAUCUAAGCUUUAAUUAAUGUAUUAAGGUAAGUUUAUCAAUUAUCCCAUUGUUACAUACAUCCUAUUGAACAUGUGUCCUGGAUCGAAAUCAAUCUCAUCUGUAAUUCAACUUUGGAUAACACACGUUAGAUCUCUAACUCUCAACAUAUAAGAGGAACAAAUCCCAUCUUGACUACAUAAGCCUCUUGCAUAAUUCAUACCAUACUUGAAAAUGACUUUUAUAACUUCCUGGUUAAGGAACAACAUUUGACCAUAUCAAGGCACAAUACUCCCUGCACUUAAGUCCCACUAUGUGUCUCAGGUGUUAAGGACACAAAAAUAGUACAUUUUAAUCAAGAAUCGCUCAUAACUGCGUUCUGUGAGAUGAUCUUGAUGCGGGUCCAUUCAAUACUAGUUCUCUGACAAGUACCUGUGAAACUUGGUUACAACUUCUUGCCUACUUUCAUCUGGUGAGAGUCAACCAAUCCAUUUCAUAUUAGUCUUACUUCAUAAUUGCUCCCACAAUCAUGACCGACUAUGAACCUUUAGAAUAAUAAGAUUAUUCAUGGAUUAAGCAUAUUAAUAUAGAACACAACAAGUAUUAAUGUAAUGAUCAUAUGCCAGUAUAUCAAAACAUUAUGUAAUAGUUGUUGUUACAGUGUUCUAAUAUCCAAAUACGAAAUCCAAACCAAAAUCCCAUUUCUAGAAUAAUAAAAGUCUUAUGGCUUAAGUGUGACCACUCAUACUUAGCUUAAAAGGAACGACUUUAUUAAUGGGUUCGACUAAAUUUAAUUUGUGUGAAUUUCGCGAAUACAAUCAUCUCCAUAUUUUACAUUACUCUAAGUAUAGUUAAAUAUUUUGGAGAAUAUAAUUGGUGCUCUUAUGUGACAUAGAGUUUCUUAGCUAGAUUAAGUACACUCUACUACUCACAAAAGAUUUAUAGGUUAUCCAUGAAUGAACAGAUUCAACCUAGUUUUUCAAUGAUCUAGUUCAUCCAAUUCUAUUUUAUUUCAACUUCUUAAAAGAAGUGCAUUCUUAUUUAGUAGAUUGUGCUAUUUUGUUUUGCUUGGAACUCAUUCCAACUAAACUUACUCUUCAUUCCGUAAUGAAGUCAUAAUCCAAUUGUAAUUCAUAAUUAUCUAUAUUUAUUUAGAAAUCAAAAUCAUAUGUAGCUCUUUACAUUAAGAUUUUAUUCUAAACUAAUUAUCUCAUAUACAUUCUCUUAGCUCUUCUUAAGUACUUUUAGAAUGUUCUCAAAGUCAUCUAGUGACUUAACCAUGUAUUCAAUUUUGUAUCUCAAGAUAUGACAUAAAUGAUGGAUUCAUUUGUCAAGAAAAUAGAAUAUAAAUCAUUUUAUCUAGCUUAAACCUAUGUUCUAGAUCCAUUUGAUACAAACUCAAAAUGCUGUCAUGUGAUAAUGUUAAGAAUCUUCCGAGGGAAUCUUGUAUGUUGACCUAUUUCAGGAUAUUUUUAUUUUAUACAAAAAGAAUUUUAAAACCUUUAACAUUCAUCUUUAUCUAUCUUUUAUAGAUUUUACAUUCCAAGAAUGUAUAUUGUCAUUCCUAAGUCUUUCAUUUUAUAAAUACUUUUCGAGUCAAGGUAAAAACCACCUUGCAUAGUCGGAAUUUCAUUUCAAAUGAUUACGUAUGUCUCUUUCAUACAAGAUUAGGAAUAUCACUAUCCUCCCACUAGUUCUUAGUAAACACACACACAUAGAUGUUCUUUUUCAUUUUGAUAUAAAAGCAUACCUUGUAUCUUUAUAUUAAAAUGAAUAUUCCAACCAUGAGAUGUUAGCUUUAUAUCCACAAGUAGAUCUUAAGGCUUACACAUUUGGUUAGGAUAACAUGGAUUAAGAAAACCUCCAUGCUAAGCUAUAUAGAUAUAUUCUAAUAGAUAUGUAUUAACAAAAGUUGUCUUUCUUGAAAUCUAUUUGGUAUAUCUCAUAUUAAGAAUAUGAAGUUAUAGUAAAUAAUAUCCAUGUUGUUCUAAUUAGAGCUACUUGUGAAAAGGUUUGAUCAUAGUCAAUGUCAUGAGUAUGAUAAAGACCAUAGUCAAAGACAUGAGUAUGAGAAANUAUAUAUAUAUAUAUAUAUAUAUGUAUAUAUAUAUAUAUAUACAUGUAUAUAUAUUCUAUCUACAAGAAUCUCUUACUCCUUCUAGCCUUGCUAUACAGAGGAAGAUUAAUCAAUCCCGUACUUGAUUAUUAAACAUGGAUUACAUCUCAAUGGUCAUGAAUCUAAGCUAUUUGUCAAAUUCAAGAUUUUAUGUAACAUUUUGGUAGUUGAUGGUCUAACUAGAAACCAUCAAGAACUCAUCAAUAAAUGAUUCCACAUUUCUCAAGUCAUAGAUGAUUUCUUCCAUUGUUGUGAACAAUUUGUGUUUAUGAAUAACUAUUAUUCGUGUUUAACAAUUUCUUGUUAAAACUAGUGCCAACAAUUGUUACAUCAGGUUAUGGUUCUUGAACUACUUUAACUUCCAUGUGCCUCCCACUUGCUUUUUCAUUAGAAGCUUGCUUUUUGCUAACUCAACUUUCAGAGGAAUAAAUGAACUUAUUCUUGGUGGGUUUGUAUAUAUAAUAAUCUAAAUGCACUUUUAGAAUAUUCUACAAUUAUGUAAUUAGCUGGUGUUUAUAUUAUAGAUACAAUUAAUUGAAGUAUAAUCCCAAAAAUGUUAAAAGGAUGACAUUUCUACCGAUUAGAAAGCAAACUAUAUCAAGUAAACUUUAAUUCACCAUUUAUCAUCAUGAAGGAUUUUGAUGGUACUAUUGGGUUGUAUUGUGUGCUGAAUCAUAGACAUUCAUUAGAAAGGAAGUCAUACAGCAAAGUGUAUAAUUCCUUAAUAAUAAUUUUCUCUACACUUUAGUGUAAGUAUUAUUAGGAAUCUUUUAUAUAUAAAUAAGAUUCAUAUAUAUCAAAUAAACUACAUUAUUUUCCUUCAAAUGUCCCUUUAUUGAUGUUGGAAUAUGUGGAUUUCCUUUAUACAAUAAAUAUGACAAUGUCAUGGAUAAGUUUGAUUUAAAACAAGUUUACUUCAAAAGUGUUUGCAUAUAGAGCUUAAUUUUAUUUAUAAAAUGUUGAUAUUUACUUUUUAAUUCUAUUAAGAGAUCUAGUCUCAGAAAUAGAAGUCAACCAUUUCAGAAUAUGAGUAUUAUCGUUAUGAAAAACAAUCUAGUAAAUAAUCAAAUAUUUAGAUAAAUAACCGAUACAUAAAUAUUUAGACAAGCUAAAUUUAAAAAAUACAUUGUUCCAAAACAAAUAUUGAUUUAUAUUAUAGGAAAUUUAUGUUCUAAGCAUAAAUAAUAAACUGAACUUCGAGAGUGUAGUUCCAACUUGCUUGUGCUCAGCUAGUUACUAUUUUGUAAAUAUUUGCAAUCAAGUUAAAAAUAUUAGAUUAACAUUUAAGUACCAAUUACUUGAGUGUUACUCGAAAAGUAGGAGUUCUAUCCAGUAGAUACUUGAAGUACUAGUCUCUUCCAGACUUUCUUUCUAGAUAAGAGGAGCAGUUCCUCUACCGGUGUCCAGUUUCUUCACAAAAGAAACAAGAUCCAUCUAUGUGGGCCUUAUUGGAUUUCUUGGGCUUAAAGAUGUUUAUUCCAUAAAACAUGGGCCGUAGAUCAUAGUCUCACCUUCGCUUGGAUAUAAAAAUUAUUUCAUAAUUUGCCAACGGAAUCUAAACGAAAGUUGUAGAUCAUAGUCUCACCUUCGUGUGGAUAUAAAGAACGUCAAAAACGGAGUUCGUAUGAGGGAUAUAUGAACUUUUGAAGUUUAAUUAAAAUAAUUAUAAAUUUAAUUAAAAACUCCCAGUAUUAUCCUAAGGGGAGUCAUCGGAUAGGACCGAAGUAUGCCCUGCGUACCUUUGUACGCCCCGCGUACUGAGAUCAAGGGCCUCGGAUCGUCCACGUCNNNNNNNNNNNNNNNNNNNNNNNNNNNNNNNNNNNNNNNNNNNNNNNNNNNNNNNNNNNNNNNNNNNNNNNNNNNNNNNNNNNNNNNNNNNNNNNNNNNNUUAUACAUGAAUACUUUUACAUAGACAUUAUAUGGCAAAUUAUUAUUACAUGUUACAUGCCUAGAUACGGUUAUAUCGUUCGCCUUCUAUCUUUACCUUGUGAUUCAAUCACAUCAUCGACGAGAUAGAUUGGGACUUUAUCUCCUAGUACCACAUCAUACUUUGAGGGACUACCCAUUCUGACAACCACUGUUAGCUACAGAGGUAAAUGAACAAUCUACGGAUGUUCUAGGUUGAUACCAUCGUGGGUAUACAUAAGGGACUAACUAUUCCUAAACCCGGCUGUUAGCAACAGAGGUAAAUGAACAGUCUACGGAUGUUCUAGGUUGAUACCAUUUCAGGUAUACUUAAGGGACAAACUAAUAAGAGUUAAACAAGGAAAAACCAUCACAUUUUCAAGAGAUGCGUACUUUCAAAACAUUCGGGUCUUGGUAGAAGACUACUUUUAUACUAGUAGGAAAUAUGGGAUUUUCUAGAGUUUUCAUACUUAUACUAAAUGAUUCAUCAAUCAUUCACCAGUCUUUCAUACCAACUAAUCAAAGCAAUGACAUUAAAUACUUAUGAACUCACCAGCUUAAAUGCUGAUCUACUCUUUCAAAAUAACUUGUAUUCUCAGGUUACAAAUAGACAGGUGUCGACACAAGGUUCAGAGAAGACGGAGCAGUCAAGACUCGUCUUUUAUUUUGUUAAGUUAUCAUCAUGUCUUGUUCUAUGAAAGAAAACACUUGUAACUAAAAUUAUACUAUUAAUGCAAUGGAUGAUGUUGUUGCUUGUUUACUACUUUACAUUUGUUGUGAUGCAUACAUGACGUCCUCCGCCCCAGAACGUUUCUGCCGUUCGUGGUUUUGGGGUGUGACAACGAUGAAUUUGGGGAGCUCGAGAGUGCGAACCUUCUCAUGUGUAUGCUAAUUCUUUAUGUAGUUAUGUUUCAGUAUGGUGAUGACAUGUCAUGGAGCAGGAGGUUUGAGGAUCAAGAUCUGGUUCGGGCACUGGCUCCGAACUAAUUGAUGAGGGUUUAUGAGAUUCCAUUGCAUAUAAGGUUAUGAGAGGCAUCAUUGAUGCGGCUCCUAUGAUGUUCGGGUCGAUCAAGGAAGGUAUCAUGGAGUUGAUGGAGGAUCGUAUGCGGAUCUUCAGGGCUGAUCUGGCCGCUAUCUAGUCGGGAGCCCACACACUCUCCUUCAAGGAUUUCAGGGGAUGUGGGACACCAGACUUCUUUGGGGUGAAGGACUCCAUCGUAGCCAGACAUUGGAUAGUCGACAUCAAGUGUGCUCAGAUGACGAGCUUCUGCCUCGAGGGAUCGAAGGUCAGGGUUGCUACAGGAUGUUUGAGGGAGCCAGCCCGGGAUUGGUGGGAGGAGGUCCUCUAUGUCUUGGGAGCCCUGGUAAUUCAGGCCAUGACCUAGCUAGAUUUUGUGACCAGGUUUUGAGCAGAGUUUACACUGGCUGUUGAGGUGCACAGCUAGCCAAGGAGUUUCUUGCUAUGAGGCAGACGACUAAGACUGUGGUGGAGAUCACUGCCAAGUUUAGAGAGAGGGCAUUGUUGGUACCCCAGUAUGCAGCUAGCAAGGAGAUGAGAAAGAUCCGAUACCAGGAUAUGUUGAGAUCCGACAUCAAGAAGUUCAUUAGUUUUCUGCCUGUCCGACACUGGAUGAUAUAAUAGGCAAAGCGUAGGAAAGAGAGAUUGACCUGGAGCACAUAUGGAAGAAGAGGGCAGAGCCUGGACAGAUCGUUGGGGUUUCAGCGAAGAAACCCAUGGAUUUUCUCUCUAGGCCGAAGGGCCGGAGCCGUUGUGGAAAAUGCGGCAGGUCGCAUGUUGGGUUUGUAGAGCGGGUGGUUCGGGCUGCUACAAGUGCAGAAAGUUAGGGCACUUUAGCAAGGAUUUUACUGCUUCUAUCACCACUUCACGUACAUCAUACCUAAUUUUCUUUCAUUGCAAUUAGUGGAACAAAAAAAAGGUCAACUUCCCGAGCCUAGCAUUAGGAGGACCAGUGGUAGCUCCAGCUCCUGCGACCAUACGGAUCACAGAUGGCCGCCAGGGCAAGGCGGAUGCUCCUGUGACGAGGAGACGUGCCUUUUAUUUAACAGCCGAGGAGGCGUGUGCUGCACCCGAUGUGGUGACGGGUAUGUCUAUUCACCUUAACUCUUUAGUUAUGUUGAAUUUGUUGCUUAUAUUUUAUGUUCUUCGUUUUAGGAUCGUUCCUUGUGAACUGUAUCCCUGCUUUGGUAUUUUUUUAAUUUGGGGGAUACCCAAUACUUUGUGUCUCUUGUACUUAACAAGAGGUUUACUGGAUCUCCGAGUGAGCUGGAUCAUCCAUUAGAAGUUGAGAUUGCGGAUGAUCGAUCUGUCAGGGCAUCGAGGGUUCAUCGGGAUUGUGUUAUGGGAUGUUUAGGGAGCAGUAUCCGAUUGACUUGGUUCCCAUUCCUUUGCACGAGAACAAGGUUAUAAUGGUGAUGGAUUAGUAAUUCCCCAGUGGGGAGAUGAUUGAUAUGAGUGCCAGUUGGUACAUGUUCGGACCCUAAGUGGGGGAGAAUUGGUGGUCCAUGGAGAGGACACUCAGCGCGGGUCGGUCCUAUGCUUAGCCGCUAGGGCCAGACGCUAUCUCCAUCAGGGUUGUUCUGGGUUCGUCGCCUAUUUUAUUGAUACCCGGGAGCAGGGUAGAGCAUCGGUUAAUGAUGUAUCGAAUGUGCAGGAGUACCCAUAUGUGUUUAUGGAGGAUUUACCCUGGGUGCCUCCCGAGAGGCAGCUGGAGUUCCGAAUUGAUUUGAUCCUUAGUGUGGCUCUGAUAGCUAAAACACCAUAUUGAUUAGCUCCACCAGAGAUGCAGUAAUUGUCUACAUAGCUGUUAGACAAGGGAUUCAUCCGACUGAGUAGUUUGGCAUUGGGUGCACCGAUCCUAUUUGUGAAGAAGAAGGGUGGUUCGCAUUGGAUGUGCAUUGACUACAAGGAGUUGAAUAAGUUAAUGGUGAAGAACCGCUAUCAACUCCCAAGGAUUGAUGAUUUUUUUUACCAACUUUAGGGUGCGUAUUGGUUUUCCAAGAUUGAUAUAUGUUCGGUUUAUCAUCAGAUGAGGGUCAGAGAGGACGAUAUGUAGAAGACGACCUUCUGGACUCGCUAUGGUCAUUACGAGUUCGUAGUGAUGCCCUUCAGGCUCACCAAUUCUCCACCCGUAUUCAUGGACGUCAUGAACCACGUGUGUCGACCGAUGUUGGAUUGGUCUUUGAUUGUAUUCAUUCAUGACAUCCUGGUCUAUACCAAGACCCAAUAGUAGCAUGAGGAGCAGUUGGAAGAGGUGUUGGAGACCCUGAGGAGGGAGAGGUUGUAUGCAAAGUUCCCAAAGUGUGAGUUCUGGUUGCGCAAGUUGUAGUUUUUGGGGCACCUUGUCAACCAGAAUGGUAUUCUGGUCGAUUCGGCCAAGUUAGUGGUCAUAUGAGGUGGGAAGUUCUAAGGUCGCCAUCUGAGAUUCGGAGUUUCCUUGGUUUCACUAGAUAUUUGUUCGAUUAAUGUCUAAGUCCAUAACUACAAUUGGUAAGACUUGACCCGACCCGGCAUGGUCCAUUUGGGUUGCAUGGCAUCAUGCAUUUGGAUAGACUAUAAUGAGAGAAAUAACACUUAAGGUUUGUUAAUAUAUUAUAAGUUAUAAUAUAUAUUAAUAAGAUUAUUUAAUUAGUAUUGAUCAUGAAUUAAUCUAGAAAUAAUUAAGUGAUCAAAAGAAGACUAAUUAAAUAUAUGGGUUGAUUGUGUAAAUCAUCCAUACUUGUAUAGUGGGCUAAUGCUCCAUGGAUUAUCAAGUUGGGCUAAAAACCAUAUGAUGCUCCACGGAUGCUCCAUGGUGUAUUUGAACCCAUGGAUUCAAGGAAAUGGAAAGCCAUGACAAUUAGGGUUUACCCUAAUUGUAACAACUAUAUAAGAUCAUAUUAUUUGGCAAAAAUCGGCCACUAUGUGUGUAAUAGAGGGGCUAGCCGAUUUUCAUGAAGUAUAGAAUUCUCUCAAGUUAUUCCAAGUUUAUUUGAUGUUGUGUGAGCCGUUUGAGGUGUCACACUUGGGGCACUAGGCACUCAAGCUUCUUGACAACAUUCUACAUCAAAGAGGUAUGUAUUCUAUCUUGUUAUAUUCAUUGUUUUGUAUGCUAGAUUAGGAUAAUACCUUGGAUGUUCAUAUUUGCAUGUAUAAUAGAGAAAACAUAGAUCCAAGGUAUUUAGGGUUGCAUGUACACUUAGGAGUGUUAGAAUGCUCAAAACCCAACAGUGGUAUCUGAGCCUAAGCUUGUUUUCUUGUUAUACUUGCAAAAAUGCUCAAAAAAUCAAAGCUGUUUGCUGUCUGAUCAUCAGACUCAGCGAGUCCAUCAGGAGACUCGGCGAGUCCAUGUCUAAAAGUCAUCAAAAGUGAUUCAAAUCGCCGAGUUGGUUCAUGCACUCGAUGAUUUGGACACCCAGACAACAUAAAUUCGACUUUUUUGGUUGGAAUUGGACUAGGAACAUUACCCUAAGAUGUUUUUUGGACUUAUAAACUUGUUUCUUGAUGUGGUAAUGUUCAUGCUAAUCCAAUUUCUAAGAUAAUUGUCAUAAUUUCAAGAUUUGUAUUAGUUUGUAUGUUCAUGCUAAUUUCUUGCAGAUUGAUGAUUUGAAUCAUCUUUUUCUUAGAUUAAUAGAAAAGUUGUGUGAAAUAGUUGAUUUCAAUCCAUUUUAAUCUAAGAGUUGAUUCCAAAGUGUGUUUUUGUAACUUGUCCUCAAAUUAUAUGAAAAGUCACAUUUAAGAAUCAUAAAACUCAUAAAAGUUGGCAAAGGUUACAAAAUGAAGAGUCUAGUUCUAAUUAAAUGGUUUUAUGACUCCAUAACUUGUCCUCAAGUUAUGGAGGUUCAAGAGUCUCUUCAUUAAAAAAAUAAAAAGAAAAGUGUAACCUUAAUUAAUUCCAUAAGUUAUAAAAUAAAGAAAAAGUUAAUUCUUUUAUUAGUUUAAAUUCUUCCAUAACUUGUCCUCAAGUUAUGGAACUUGAAGAGUUUUUUGGAUUAAAACUACUUUAAACUCAUAAGUUAUGGAAUUAAUUAGUUUUGAAUAGUUUCAAAACUUGCCCUCAAGUUUUGGAAUUUGAAAAGUUUUCACUUAUGAAUACUUUAAUUCCAAGUUAGCCCUUAGAAUUUUAAAAGUUAAAAUUCAACCCUUAUACUUUAUAAUAUUAUAAGUUAAUAAUAUAUAUAUGUAUAAGAGUAAAGUCAGUCUUACCGCUAGUACGCCUCAUUCACGAAGCCGGUCUAUAAGGUGGGUAUAAGGUUGUUGCCUAUAAAAUGGCAACUUAAUGGGUGUCCACUCUCACCCACCGCUUGCUUGACUGGUGGAGGGUCGUUAGCCGAACGGGUUUGACAGGACUAUAAUUCUCCCUUCAUUAAAAGUAUUAAUGAUAAAUACUAAGUAACUAAACUCUUAUUAAUACCCAAUCUUAGUUACUUAGGAAAAUGUGAAUAAGGUGCUAAUCCAUGAAAUUACACUUUGCACUUUGUUUAAGUCGGUUAGUGGAGCGUGUGUGGUUAACCGGCACACUAACUCGUAUUUAACAAGGUAGGAAAAGGGUAACUUAAUGUUUAUCAUAGUAUCGAUGGAGCGUGUGUGGUUAACCGGCACAUCGUUUGGGUGAUAAACAUUUAAGGGUACCAAGUAAUUUGCAUGGUUACUUCACACCUUGUUUUGUGAUCCUCGGCAUCCCAGUCACAAAACUUGAAGGGCACACUCGAGAUUGAAACAUGCCAUUUAAAAGUUCAAUGAAUCUCAAAAGAUCUAGGAGUUUCAAAUCCAAUUAAAACUUAGUUAUAUUUCGUUUUUCGUGGUGGAAAUUGGUAAAUCGUCAUUUACCUACCUUCAACUAUUUUAUAAUUUGGAUUACGGCAUCCCUCUUCCAGUUAUAAAUAGGUUAUUGGUUCCUAGCCUUAAUAUUUCAUAUUGGGUGUUAUAUUAAGGACUUUUAAAUCAACUUAACUUGAAUAUCUCCCAAAAGAUGUCUAGUUCAGACAUCUAUGAUCUUCCCAAAUCUCUUGGAACUUCACUUCCUCCACCUCCUCCAAUUAUUCUCCCUAACCCACAAGUUCAAGGUCACUCAAGCCCUAUUGGCAAGGCAAGGUCUAGGUGUGAUCACAUCUUGGAGAUGAAGUCACAUAUUGACAAGCUGAGAGAGUUGGGUGUCAAAGUCUUGAGAAAGUUCGAUGUUCAAUCACUUUAUAAGUCACAUAGUGAGUUCCUUUGGGACACCUAUGAAACAGACUAUGACAAGACCCUUAAUGAUCUUAUAUAUUUGCUUGGUACUGCUGAAUCAGCAAUGAUUUGGAAGACUAGUAAAGCAAAUUUGAUUAAAAAAUCGACUUCCAAAACUUUAUGGACAGGGACAAUAGUGACACAGGAAAUCCAGAAAAGCAUUCUCUUCCCAAUAGAAAGGGAUUGGCCAUAGUCAACUUGGCUGACAAAAUGCUAAAGAGAAAGGCUAAGUCUGAGAUAGUCCCAUGUACUAUUACCUAAGGGUCCAUAUGUUUCUAUUGCCAAAGGAAGGGGAUUUGAUUACGAAACUACCAAACUUACCUAAGGAUGUUAAAGUCAAUGAGUUUGACUUUAUUUCAG